ACAAGCCCCUUCCACAGACUGAGCCCCUCCCCAUUCAAAACAACGUUACCAUGGCGGAGCGGCUGCCCACGGCUCAGUGUUCGUCGGCGAAAAAGCUGCGAAACUCGAGGCUAACCCCUCAGUACAGAGCCGAGCAGUUCCCGGACGACUUCUGUGAGUCAGGCGAACCGUUGUUUUGCAGAUUCUGUCAACGCUCCGUUGCCUGGAAACGUAAAAAUACGUGCAGUGACCACACAGCGCUAGCAAGCUAAUGCUAGCAAGACCGCGUCCCCACAGACGCUCAUUACUGCGUCUACAUUAAAGUCAUCGGACUCAAGAAAAGAGUUUAUUGAAGAGUGUGUUCUGAGGCGGACAUCCCCUUGGAACAGACGACAAAACUGCGUCCGUUUCUGCAGAAGCACCGCAAACAGGGAGGACAAUGUUAGCAGCUUUCGCCAGAUACACCUCCUCCGAGUGUUUGAGCGACACAUCUUCUCUGUUGCAAGAGACUGCAGCGUCCUAACCAUCGUCAUUGGAGUUGAAAACCUAUACUUUCUUGGAGAGGCCUGAGUGCAAGAUUCCCAAGAUUUGCAGAGAUGGCUGUGCCCUCCGUCUGCAUGCCCCCAUUUUCAGCAGAGCGCUUUCAAAGCAACAUCAGGCAACUUACAGAGGCAGUGUCCUCUAUAUGACUUUUUUUUUUUUUUUUAAUGUGAAAAUGAAUUGUUCUCCUGUGUGGACAGGUGACACGACCAGUAUAAGGUGAGACAUGAUAUCGUUGUGAAGAAUAUGGCUCCCUCUAAUGGAUAAGUUGUGUUUUACUUAGUAUUUACUAUUUAACGUAAAUUCAAAGCAAAUAAGUUAAAGUUUCCAUACAGUGUGUCUGUAUUUCACACAUUCUUAGGUUUGUGUAUUUAUUAAUUGUUAUUUUCGAAUGGUAUUCUGUAUGAAUACACAAAGAAAUAACAGCAUACAACAGACUUUUGAAUUCAUUUUAUUGAUAUUAAAUCAAUUAUUAUAUUUAAUUAUAAAAAUCAAUCAAUCAGUUGUUGCACUCAAUUUGUUUUCCCAUGUAGUCAUAAAAGUUCAAUUAAUUUUAGUUUAAUUCAUAAAGUGAUAACAUUGGCAGACAUAUCAAAAACAAUAUAAGCUUAUACAACAUGUAUAAAGCAGGUUUACUGAUAAUAAACAUGUGCUGUGGGCUUGAUUAUAGAACCAACAGGGUCACAUUUUUUCCAAAGUUAUAGAUGAGGGACAAACUUCACAGACCUCACUCUGUGCAGUAAUCAUUUCUAAGAUUCAUCUCUGACAAAUCAAGUUGGUAUCUUCCAAAAUUACAUUUUUUUUUUUUUUACUUUGAUGUAUUCCCUCUUUGUGUUACUGUUUUCCCACUGCGACAUAUCAAGGAAACAGUC